GACGAACGCUGGCGGCGUGCUUAACACAUGCAAGUCGAACGGGCCUGUCUUCUUUUUUGGGGGUGGGUUGAGUGGCGAACGGGUGAGUAUCACGUGAGUAACCUGCCCUUCGGUCCUGGAUAACCGCUUGAAAGGGCGGCUAAUACGGGGUGGUCCGGUUGGUCCGCAUGGGCUGGUCGGGAUAGAUUCACUGUUUUUGGUGUUUCGGCGGGGGAUGGGCUCGCGGCCUAUCAGCUUGUUGAUGGGGUGAUGGCCUACCAAGGCGGUGACGGGUAGCCGGCCUGAGAGGGUGGGCGGCCACACUGGGACUGAGAUACGGCCCAGACUCCUGCGGGAGGCAGCAGUGGGGGGUAUUGCACAAUGGGCGGAAGCCUGAUGCAGCGACGUCGCGUGAGGGAUGGAGGCCUUCGGGUUGUGAACCUCUGUUUCCGGUGGUGAAGGCCCUGUCCGUGUGGUGGGGUUGACGGUAGCCGGGGAUGAAGCGCCGGCUAACUACGUG
rnacentral:rRNA from 1 species